UACGGAGGGUGCAAGCGUUAUCCGGAUUCACUGGGUUUAAAGGGUGUGUAGGCGGACUUUUAAGUCAGUGGUGAAAUCCCCAGGCUCAACCUGGAAACUGCCAUUGAUACUAUUAGUCUUGAAUUCUGUUGAGGUGGGCGGAAUACAUCAUGUAGCGGUGAAAUGCUUAGAUAUGAUGUAGAACACCGAUUGCGAAGGCAGCUCACUAAACAGCGAUUGACGCUGAGGCACGAAAGCGUGGGGAUCAAACAGG
rnacentral:rRNA from 1 species